UACGUAGGGGGCUAGCGUUGUCCGGAUUUAUUGGGCGUAAAGGGCGCGUAGGCGGCUUGGCAAGUGGAAGGUGAAAUCCCUCGGCUUAACCGAGGAACUGCCCUCCAAACUGCUUUGCUUGAGGCCGGGAGAGGUGAGUGGAAUUCCCAGUGUAGCGGUGAAAUGCGUAGAUAUCAGGAGGAACACCGGUGGUGUAGACGGCUUUCUGGACCAUAACUGACGCUGAGACACGAAAGCGUGGGUAGCAAACAGG
rnacentral:rRNA from 1 species